rnacentral:rRNA from 1 species
CCUACGGGCGGCAGCAGUGGGGAAUAUUGCACAAUGGGCGCAAGCCCGAUGCAGCGACGCCGCGUGCGGGAUGGAGGCCUUCGGGUUGUAAACCGCUUUUGUUCAAGGGCAAGGCACGGUCUUUGGCCGUGUUGAGUGGAUUGUUCGAAUAAGCACCGGCUAACUCCGUGCCAGCAGCCGCGGUAAUACGGAGGAUGCGAGCGUUAUCCGGAUUUAUUGGGGUAAAAGGGUGCGCAGGCGGAAGAUCAAGUCAGCGGUAAAAUUGAGAGGCUCAACCUCUUCGAGCCGUUGAGACUGGUUUUCUUGAGUGAGUGAGAAGGAUGCGGAAUGCGUGGUGUAGCGGUGAAAUGCAUAGAUAUCACGCAGAACUCCGAUUGCGAAGGCAGCAUACCGGCGCUCAACUGACGCUCAUGCACGAAAGUGUGGGUAUCGAACAGGAUUAGAUACCCCAGUAGUC